rnacentral:rRNA from 1 species
GAUGAACGCUAGCGACGUGCCUAACACAUGCAAGUCGCACGAGAAAGCGGACUUCGGUCUGCAAGUACAGUGGCGCACGGGUGAGUAACACGUGAAUUAUCUACCUUCGAGUGGGGAAUAACCUCGGGAAACCGAGGCUAAUACCGCAUAACACUUACGAGUCAAAGCAGCAAUGCGCUUGAAGAGGAGUUCGCGGCAGAUUAGUUAGUUGGCGGGGUAAUGGCCCACCAAGACGAUGAUCUGUAUCCGGCCUGAGAGGGCGCACGGACACACUGGAACUGAAACACGGUCCAGACUCCUACGGGAGGCAGCAGUGGGGAAUUUUGCGCAAUGGGGGAAACCCUGACGCAGCAACGCCGCGUGGAGGAUGAAAUCCCUUGGGAUGUAAACUCCUUUCGAUCGGGACGAUUAUGACGGUACCGGAAGAAGAAGCCCCGGCUAACUUCGUGCCAGCAGCCGCAGUAA